rnacentral:tRNA from 1 species
GGUCCCGAGGUGUUACAUGUCAGACUGCAAAUCUGAAGAAGGCGUUCUGCCCGGGGCUU